GACGAACGCUGGCGGCGUGCUUAACACAUGCCAGUCGAACGGAAAGGCCCUGCUUUUGUGGGGUGCUCGAGUGGCGAACGGGUGAGUAACACGUGAGUAACCUGCCCUUGACUUUGGGAUAACUUCAGGAAACUGGGGCUAAUACCGGAUAGGAGCUCCUGCUGCAUGGUGGGGGUUGGAAAGUUUCGGCGGUUGGGGAUGGACUCGCGGCUUAUCAGCUUGUUGGUGGGGUAGUGGCUUACCAAGGCUUUGACGGGUAGCCGGCCUGAGAGGGUGACCGGCCACAUUGGGACUGAGAUACGGCCCAGACUCCUACGGGAGGCAGCAGUGGGGAAUAUUGCACAAUGGGCGGAAGACUGAUGCAGCAACGCCGCGUGCGGGAUGACGGCCUUCGGGUUGUAAACCGCUUUCGCCUGUGACGAAGCGUGAGUGACGGUAAUGGGUAAAGAAGCACCGGCUAACUACGUG
rnacentral:rRNA from 1 species